AUUGAACGCUGGCGGCAGGCCUAACACAUGCAAGUCGAACGAGUGGCGGACGGGUGAGUAAUGUAUGGGACACUGCCCGAUGGAGGGGGAUAACUACUGGAAACGGUAGCUAAUACCGCAUACCAUGGGAUGUGCCGAGAUGGGAUUAGCUAGGAGGUGGGGUAACGGCUCACCUAGGCGACGAUCCCUAGCUGGUCGGAGAGGAUGACCAGCCACCCUGCAUCUGAGCCACGGUCCAGACUCCUCCGCGACGCAUCAGUGCGGAAUAUUGUACAAUUGGCUCAAGCCUGAUGCAGCCCUGCCGCGUGUCGUAAGAAGGCCUUCCGGUUGUAAAGUUCUUCCAGCGAGGAGUCGUUACUCGCAGAAGAAGCACCGGCUAACUCCGUGCCAGCAGCCGCGGUAAUUC
rnacentral:rRNA from 1 species